GCCCUCCUAGAUCAGUGGUAGAUCGUCAGUUUCCGGCCGGGGCUUGAACCCGUGAUCCAGUAGCUGAAGGUCGUGGGUUCAAGCCCCACGGUGGGUA